rnacentral:rRNA from 1 species
CGCUGGCGGCGUGCCUAACACAUGCAAGUCGAGCGAGGAGAGUCCCUUCGGGGAUGAACCUAGCGGCGGACGGGUGAGUAACACGUGGGCAACCUGCCUUAUAGAGGGGAAUAGCCUUCCGAAAGGAAGAUUAAUACCGCAUAACAUUACAUUUUCGCAUGAGGAAGUAAUUAAAGGAGUAAUCCGCUAUAAGAUGGGCCCGCGGCGCAUUAGCUAGUUGGUGAGGUAACGGCUCACCAAGGCGACGAUGCGUAGCCGACCUGAGAGGGUGAUCGGCCACAUUGGGACUGAGACACGGCCCAGACUCCUACGGGAGGCAGCAGUGGGGAAUAUUGCACAAUGGGGGAAACCCUGAUGCAAGCAACGCCGCGUGAGUGAUGAAGGUCUUCAGAUCGUAAAGCUCUGUCUUCAGGGACGAUAAUGACGGUACCUGAGGAGGAAGCCACGGCUAACUACGUGCCAGCCGCCGC